AUUAGCCCCGUAACUUCGGGAGAAGGGGUGCCUGCUCUGAGAAGAGCAGGUCGCAGUGACUAGGGGGCUCUAACUGUCUAAUAACAACACAGGUGAUUGCUAACCCGAAAGGGCAAGUACAAUCACUGAAUCCUGCCCAGUGCAGGUACCUGAACAUCCGGUUCAACGGGAAGAAGGGCCUGUCAACGGCGGGGGUAACUAUGACCCUCUUAAGGUAGCGUAGUACCUUGCCGCUUAAUUGGCGGCUUGCAUGAAUGGACCAAUGAGAGCCCUACUGUCCCUGGGUGGAACCCGGUGAACUUUACAUUCCAGUGCAGAGUCUGGAGACCCCUGAUGGGAAGUGAAGACCCCGUGGAGCUUUACUGCAGCCUGUCGUUGGGAUGCGGUUGUGCAUGCGCAGCGUAGGUAGGAGGCGUCGAUCCACCACUUCUGGGUGGUGGGGAGCCUAUCCUGAGACACUACCCUUGUACGGUUGCGUCCCUUACCGUGAGAACGGGACCCCGAUAGGUGGGCAGUUUGGCUGGGGCGGCACGCCCUUGAAAAGAUAUCAAGGGUGCCCAAAGGUUGACUCAGGUGGGUCAGAAACCCACCGAAGAGCGUAAGGGCAAAAGUCAGCCUGAUGUGAUUCAGCAAAGUAGUGGAUCACAAGACGAAAGUCGGGCCUAACGAACCUUUAUGCCCUAUUGGUGAGGGCUAAAGAUGACAGAAAAGCUACCCCGGGGAUAACAGAGUUGUCACCAGUAAGAGCACAUAUCGACCUGGUGGCUUGCUACCUCGAUGUCGGUUCUUUCCAUCCUGGCCGUGCAGAAGCGGCCAAGGGUGAGGUUGUUCGCCUAUUAAAGGAGAUCGUGAGCUGGGUUUAGACCGUCGUGAGACAGGUCGGUUACUAUCUGUCAGGGGUGUGUUGAGGUCUGAGGGGAAGUUGGCUAUAGUACGAGAGGAACUAGCCAACGUGGCCUCUGGUCUAUCGGUUGUCUGGCAAGGCAGUGCCGAGCAGCUACGCCAUAAUGGAUAAGAGCUGAAUGCAUCUAAGCUCGAAACCAACCCCGAAAAGAGACCUCUUAAGGACAUCGGUAAAAGACCGGUUUGAUAGAGUCGGGAUGUACGCACCAAGGCAACGAGGUGUUCAGUCCGCGGCCACUAACGUCCGAGCCACACC
rnacentral:rRNA from 1 species